rnacentral:sRNA from 1 species
UCGGGAGCUGGCAUUUUCGUUGACCUGGACGAGGAGGAGUCUGCUCUGCGGAGAUCAUGGGGACAGCCUUCCAAGCUGAAGGAAGGAUGGCUCCAAGGGGAGUGUGUACCAUCACCCCUCUGGAUGAAGCCUGCUGGGAGCGUGAAUGACAUGGCCCUGGAUGCCUUCGACUUGGACCGGAUGAAGCAGGAGAUCCUAGAGGAGGUGGUGAGAGAGCUCCACAAGGUGAAGGACGAGAUCAUCGACGCCAUCAGGCAGGAGCUGAGUGGGAUCAGCACCACGUAAGGGGCCGGCCUCGCUGCGCUGAUUCGUCGAGCCCAUCCGGUGACAGAGGACAGCCAGGAGCCCAGCCAGCCCCAGACUCCAGUGCACCAGAGCACGCACAGGAGCCUGGGCGCACUGCUGUGAAACGUCCUGACCUGCGAUCACACAUUACAAGAGACGCCCCUAAGUCACCUGCUUCAUUAGACAGUUUCCAGGUUUUCUCCCAGGUGACGCUGUUAGCGCCUCAGCUGGCAGUGACAGCCGGCCCGGCGUGGCGCCACCACGCACCGCAGCGCUGUCCAGGCACAGCUCCGUCCCCAGCGCUCAUGGUGUUGAAACUGUCAUGCACCACGGUGUCUGUGUCCACACAGUAAUAAACCGUUUACUGUC